rnacentral:rRNA from 1 species
UCUGNUCUUUAACNCGUUUGAUCUAUAGGUNCUCACAUUGGACGUAGGUCGUGCACAGCCUAACACAUGCAAGUCGAACGGUAACAGGAAGCAGCUUGCUGCUUUGCUGACGAGUGGCGGACGGGUGAGUAAUGUCUGGGAAACUGCCUGAUGGAGGGGGAUAACUACUGGAAACGGUAGCUAAUACCGCAUAACGUCGCAAGACCAAAGAGGGGGACCUUCGGGCCUCUUGCCAUCGGAUGUGCCCAGAUGGGAUUAGCUAGUAGGUGGGGUAACGGCUCACCUAGGCGACGAUCCCUAGCUGGUCUGAGAGGAUGACCAGCCACACUGGAACUGAGACACGGUCCAGACUCCUACGGGAGGCAGCAGUGGGGAAUAUUGCACAAUGGGCGCAAGCCUGAUGCAGCCAUGCCGCGUGUAUGAAGAAGGCCUUCGGGUUGUAAAGUACUUUCAGCGGGGAGGAAGGUGUUGAGGUUAAUAACCUCAGCAAUUGACGUUACCCGCAGAAGAAGCACCGGCUAACUCCGUGCCAGCAGCCGCGGUAAAUACGGAAGGGUGCAAGCGUUUAAAUCCGAGAAAUUUACCUGGGNCGUUAAAAAGCGGCACCGGUCAAGAGGCGGGGUCCUGGUCCACAAGGGAUU